AGAGUUUAAAGACCUACUGGAAAAUCUUAUAAAAUAUAUGGAGCUUAUACCCCUAAAAAAUGCUGUAAUGUAUACCUUACUCAAAAUGAGCAUUCAUUUCAGGAAGUUCGAGGACCUUCAGAAAUCAAUCCAUGGGCUCCACAAGCACUGUAUCAAGAGGCAUUCGAGACCAGUCUGGGCUGGAGGAAAUGGGGAAAAGAAGAGAAGGAAGUGAAAGGAAUCUGUUGAGAGAGCAGGUGAAGUGAUCCAAGAAAAGGCAGUGCCAUGGGAACCAAGAAAGGAGACCAAAAGUGAAGAAUGUUGAGUCUGAGCCAGAGAAGGACUGAUGGAGCCAUUGCCACUGUAGCCUCAGAGAGGGCAGCUUCACUAGAACAAUGGCAGCAGAAUGCAGAUGGAGCCAGUGGGGAGAGGAGUGGACAUGAGAGAAAGAUCCCAUAGCCCUCUUGGUCUUGGUUGGAACCGGAGGAAAAUGAAAACUGGACAUCCAUCUUAGGACUUAAUCCUACGGAGACCACAAGCUGGAAGAGGCACUCAAUACCAGCAUGGCUUCUGUGGCAUUUUGAUGAGUAGUAUGGGCUCCACACUGAAAUAUUAAUAUCUUAUUGUUUUGAUGAUGAUGAUGAUGUUCAUUGGCCCAGGGCAAAAGGUAAAGGUUGUGUUAUAAAGCUGAUUUAUUCAAUCUCUGUGGAUGUUAACUCCACCCCAUCCCCUUAUUGAACAAUUACGAUGCCUAUAAAUAUUGUAUUGAGAAAGAAAAAAAAACUAAGGCAGAAGAUAUCAUAUUACCCAUCCAUAUGUGACAUUUUGGCUGGCCAAGCCAUAAUGGCCAAAGAGGAGCAACUGUCAAAAUUUAAGUGGGGUUAGAAAAGAAGAGAGGAACUUGCACGUUUGCACCUACAAGGAC
rnacentral:lncRNA from 1 species